GACGAACGCUGGCGGCGUGCCUAAUACAUGCAAGUAGGACGCAGUUGCGAACGGGUGAGUAACGCGUAGGUAACUACCUAUUAGAGGGGGAUAACUAUUGUAACCGAUAGCUAAUACCGCAUCCUAGUAGAUGUACCUGCGUUGUAUUAGCUAGUAGGUAGGGUAAUGGCCUACCUAGGCAACGAUACAUAGCCUGGUGGAGAGGUUGGUCGGCCACACUGGGACUGAGAGAAGGCCCAGGAUCCUUCGGGAGGCAGCAGUAGGGAAUCUUUGGCAAUGGGGGGAAACCUGACCGAGCAAAGCCGGGGGAGAGAAGAAGGUGUUCGGAUCUUAAAGGUCUGUUGUGAAGGAAGCGUUACUUAACCAGAAAGGGACGGCUAACUACGUGCCAGCCGCCGCGGUAAUAC
rnacentral:rRNA from 1 species